ACUGCAUUUGGGAGCUUAAAAAUGUAAACAUUUGAAAAUGGGUUUCUUAGUGCAAGUUUUAGAACAUUAUUGUGUCUGUGUAAACUACAAAAAUGCAAAUUUGUGAAAUAUGGCAAUUCAUGAGCACUAAUCACAUGUUAAUAGUGAAAAACAGUUAAACAUGCAUGUAACAAACUGAACAAUCACUGAUGAAUCUGUUCUUUCCAGGUUCCAGACAUCUACUUCCUCAAGAGGUCACCCCCACCCGGCUCCCUCUCCACCGGAUACCGUCCGUGUCUCCCUUCCCUUCUCAAGGGCAUCGCAUCCACAGCCCCAGUCCUGCCAUUCUCAACUUCACCCUGCAGAACCUGGGCCUUAUCCCCGGCACCAGCACACCAAACUCCACUCCUGAGCAGGCCAGCACGCUUCCGUCUCCCCACCCGGGGCUCCCUCAACAGAGCAUGAUCUUUGUGAAGCCCAUCUCACCUGCCCGAGCUCUGCAGCCGGCCUCCAUACACGGGCAGCCCGUCACCCUCAUCAGCAUACCACAGCCUUUAGUAACCACACCUAAAGGUGCCUGUCAACACCUCCAGCAGAGUUUCUUUCACACGCCCGUCUCCUUCCCUACUGUAACCAACACCGCGGCUCCCAGAAACAUCUACAUCCCUCAGAGAAAGCUUGAUGUGAGUCCAGAGGACACCUAAGACCUUCACACUGACAAUCAUCACACCUGCAGUCCUUACGCUACCAAAAACCACUGUUCUGUUUGAGCCAUUGUGUUUGCUUGUUAUUUGUCUUUGAGUGUUUUUUUAUGUUUUCCUCUUUAUAUUGUUACUUUACUGUAGGGUCUGCAUUAACUUCACAGUAGUCUGUGGUGCUUGAUGCUUUUUACUGCUGAGGCUCUUGAGGAAAGCAGGACCUCAAACAUGGUGCUAUGUUAUUUACCAAGACAGUCGGGGUUUAUUUGAAAAACAAAGGUUUUUUUAAAAAUAUGCUGUAAAUUUAGGGUUAAAAAUGGAAGAAUGAGCAAAAAUUUUCAAAUGGUGUAUGAAACGUUAACAGGAAAUCUAAUUUCAGGGAUUUUAGGAAACAAAUUUGUAUGAUUUUUUUUAAAUUGUUGUGAGUGGCAUCGCCUUAAAGUGUUGAAGUACCACAGUAUAUUAAAUUGCCAUAACUUGCCAUUGUGUUAUGAUGUAUUAAUAUGGGAGAAUGUUAGAUUAAGGGUGUUAUUAAAUAUUGUAGAUGUAUUUUAUGUCAAUGAAAUCUAGUAAUAUUUCUAUCUGCACAUCAUUUAUUUGAACUGUCUAUGUAAUAAAGAUAAAUGAAUGUGCUCCA
ensembl:lncRNA